rnacentral:rRNA from 1 species
UACGUAGGGUGCGAGCGUUGUCCGGAAUUAUUGGGCGUAAAGAGCUCGUAGGCGGUCUGUCGCGUCGAUCGUGAAAACUUGGGGCUUAACCCUGAGCUUGCGGUCGAUACGGGCAUGACUGGAGUUCGGCAGGGGAGACUGGAAUUCCUGGUGUAGCGGUGAAAUGCGCAGAUAUCAGGAGGAACACCGGUGGCGAAGGCGGGUCUCUGGGCCACUACUGACGCUGAGGAGCGAAAGCGUGGGGAGCGAACAGG